rnacentral:lncRNA from 1 species
CCCACUCAGGGUUUCAAGUCGGGAUCCUCUCUGGCCUCUCAGCCCCAGAGCCUUAAGAGCUGAUGCAACCCUGGCCGGCUCCGGAAGUCCCGCCCCGCCCCGCAAGCGCAACUUCCGGUCCCUCACCGUUGCCAGGCAACCAAUCGACGCCCCGCGAGGAGGGGAGGAGCCAGGAUGCGGGUGGGAAGCCUGCCGGGAAUUGUAGUCCUGGCCUGCCUGGGGUCUCUGACCCGCGGACACCAGACCUGCAAGGAGGGUCACUGGGUCCGACCCCGCCGAUGCCCUUCAGAAAUCUGAGGGGAAAUGGAGAGCCCGAGCCGCGAAACGAUCAGUCAGCUCACCCCUGA